rnacentral:lncRNA from 1 species
CCCGCCUACAGGGCCAGGCUGGGGACCGCCCCGCUGGCCUCCCUGGGACCCCAUGCUGAGUCCUCCCCGGGGGAAGACCCUCCUGGCAGCGUCUUGCCGGGCUUUCUCCGCCAACAGGAGAUCCCCGGGUACUGCCGUCCACCCCUGACGGCGCCUGCACUGACCCCGACCCUCACACACCACGUGGGACGCCACCAGUCAUCCCACACUGAGGUUGGACACCCAUCACCCCGUGCCCGGCCCACGAGGCUUGGGGUGGGCUGGUGAACCCCGUAGGCCAUCGUUUGUUCUUAAGGAGCUUGCAUUCUAGGGACCCACGGGAAAGAACUGAACACGCCAGAGAGACACAGCUCCGAUGGAGGCUGCGCAGAGUUGAAGACGGACGGCCAUGGCCACGGCACCCGAGAUUCAGCUGAAGGAGGGGCUGUUUGAGCUGAGGCCUGUUGGUCCGCGUGGAGGGAACACUGGUGGCUUUCUCAUAGUUCUGGCGAUCAGAAGUCUCCAGCGGGUCUCACUGGGGAAGUGGAGGGGUCAGCCAGGCUGCCUUCCUUUCUGAGGUUCUGGGGAGAACCCAUUUCCUUGGUUUUUCUAGUCUCUAGACCUGGAGGAGCCCCUAGCAUACAGUAGGCACUCUGCAGAGGCGCACAGAGUUGACGGUUGCAUGUAGGAAUGGACAAUGCCCUCCCGGGGUGGGGUCUGGCUGCUCAGUUCCCUAGCAGCUGCCCACUGGGCCCUGGCUCACAGAAGCUGCAGCAUCCCAGGCCCAGCCAGGGAGGCUCGGUUUUGAGCCUCUGGGGAGCUCCCUCUGGAAAGAGAAACUUUAUAUUUAAGAAAGAAAACUGUGAGAAUUUGAGCGGAGGCUUCCCAGCCACCUUGUCUGAGUGGGAACCCCGCAUGGAGGAAACAGAACAAGACUUCUGAGCCCAUUUGAGUCUGGACACCUCCAUGCCUUAACACCUGGGAUCCAAUGCAUUUCUUUUUUGCUUAAGUCACUUUGAGUUGAGUCUCUGGGGCUCACUGCUCUGAGCAUCUUCACUCCAGGGCGAGAGACAUGUCAGACAGAGGAGCCUUAGACCU